CAAGGAUUUCAGCCCUAUGGUUGCAAGGAGCUGAAUUCUGCCAACAACAAGAAUGAGUUUGAAAGCAGAUUUUCUCUUUGUUGUCUCCAGCUGAGCACUUAGCCUGGUCAACACCUUAAUUUCAGCUUUGUGGUACCUUGCACAGAGAACACAUCAAGACGUGAAAGACUUCUGUUCUACAAAAUUGCCCUCUGUCAGAGGAAGACUCAGUGAAUUUAUUUUCCACCUGGUCACAUUUCAUAGACUGUGACAGCCAGUGGCUGCUAUGACCACAGCCCACAAAUCCAUUCUGAAAAUAUGUGGUGGACACUUUUCAAGUAAUAGGUGCCUGGAAUGUAUGCAGAUAUGUUUCACAGAAAUGCUAAGUCCUUAAUCAAUACAACAAAAUAUUUCCAGCUUCCCCAGCGUGAUAAAUCUAGCAAUCAAUUACUCUGCCAUAGUAUACGCCUGGUACAAGCAGGAUGAAAAAUAUUAUUGAAAAAUUCUACCUCUUGAUUAACUACUGAUGAAAGUUCUCAGAAUUAAAAUGAUAUUUCUUAAUUUACUCUUUUUCAAAAUUGGAAACCAAAUACACCAAACUAUUAUAUUCUAUAGAUCAUAUUCCACAAGGUCAUGAAACCUUCCAAGCAUAAAAAGGAAAAUCAUCAGCCACCAGAAACAAAACAAAAAAAAUAGGUAAAUAAAACCACCUUCAAUUUCUAUUCCUAAGAAUUCCAAGCUGUUUUCAUAUAGAAAAUUAUGUUAUUUUGAAAGCAGUAAUGAAUUUGAAAACAUCUCAUGCUCCAGAAGCCUAAUUUUAGAUCUAUUAUGGAAUUCUGCAUUCUACAAACAACGCCCUAUUAAUCCCCCUAUCGACUUGCUUCUUGUGGUCCUUGUCUGGAGCUGGUUUUAGUGCACAAUGAAGCAUUGAAAUAUUUUGUAUAAAUAAAUAAAGGAGGAUUGGGUAGCGAGUAACAUCAAAGAACUUCACUAAUUGGCAGUGCUAAAUGUCUGCGACAGCUUGGUUAGCCACUGAAAAAUCGCUCUAAUGAUAUACUCACUGGAAAUGUCCCCCGUUGCCUUAGAAAAAGUAAGAUCCAACUAGGAAAAACUUAGUGUCCAGCUCCAUCAUGAAAACAGAAUCUUCAACUGAAAGAGGUACAUAGGACUGUGUGAAGAA
rnacentral:lncRNA from 1 species